rnacentral:rRNA from 1 species
AUCGAUGAAGAACGCAGCGAAAUGCGAUAAGUAAUGUGAAUUGCAGAAUUCAGUGAAUCAUCGAAUCUUUGAACGCACAUUGCGCCCUCUGGUAUUCCGGGGGGCAUGCCUGUUCGAGCGUCAUUACAACCCUCAAGCUCUGCUUGGUAUUGGGCGUCACCACCUGGUGCGCCUCAAAAACAGUGGCGGUGCCGUCUGGCUUCAAGCGUAGUAAUUUCUCUCGCUCCGGAGUCCAGGCGAGUGCUCGCCAGAACCCCCAAUUUAUCAAAGGUUGACCUCGGAUCAGGUAGGGAUACCCGCUGAACUUAAGCAUAUCAAUAAGCGGAGGAAAAGAAACCAACAGGGAUUGCCUCAGUAACGGCGAGUGAAGCGGCAAAAGCUCAAAUUUGAAAUCUGGCCUCACGGUCCGAGUUGUAAUUUGUAGAGGAUGUUUCGAACGUGGUCCGGUCUAAGUUCCUUGGAACAGGACGUCAUAGAGGGUGAGAAUCCCGUAUGUGCCCGGGUGCCAUUGUUCAUGUGAAGCUCCUUCGACGAGUCGAGUUGUUUGGGAAUGCAGCUCAAAAUGGGUGGUAAAUUUCAUCUAAAGCUAAAUACUGGCCAGAGACCGAUAGCGCACAAGUAGAGUGAUCGAAAGAUGAAAAGCACUUUGGAAAGAGAGUUAAACAGUACGUGAAAUUGUUGAAAGGGAAGCGCUUGCAAUCAGACUUGCAUGCAGUCGAUCAUCCGAUGUUCUCACCGGUGCACUCGAUUGUAUUCAGGCCAGCAUCGGUUUUGGUGGUUGGAUAAAGGCCUCAGGAACGUGGCUCCUCUCGGGGAGUGUUAUAGCCUGAGGUGCAAUGCAGCCUACUGGGACCGAGGACCGCGCUUCGGCUAGGAUGCUGGCGUAAUGGUUGUAAGCGACCCGUCUUGAAACACGG